ACGACGCUCUUCUGAACUGGGCUAGUGGCAAAAGAGGAGAUAUCAGAGUGAAGGAAAUUUACAAUUGGUGGGGGAGCCCCAUACAUGAUCUCGAACGGGGUUAGGCCAUGAGGCCCAGGAGUGUUCCGGGCUCGGUAAAGGGCUAGGGGGAGUAGGAGCACCCAAUCUCUUGUGCCAGUUGUAAGCGUUAAUUUGGUUAAAGUCUCCUUAAUGGUUUUAUUUGUACGUUUUACCUGUCCUGAGCUCUGGGGGCGGUAUGCACAAUGAAGUUUCCAAUCGAUCCCCAGUAGCCUGGCCAUCCUCUGACUUACCU